rnacentral:rRNA from 1 species
GUAACGGCGAGCGAAGAGGGAAGAGCUCGAGCCUGAAAUCCCCGGCGCCUGGCGCCGGAGAAUUGUGGCCGGGAGAGGCAGCCGUGCCCGGGCUGGCGCUGUCGAAGUUGACCUGGAAAGGCACGUCAGAGAGGGUGAGAGCCCCGUGCGCGACACCGCCGGGCCGGGUUGCUACUGUCUUCGGAGAGUCGGGUUGUUUGGGAUUGCAGCCCAAAGUGGGUGGUAAACUCCAUCUAAAGCUAAAUACUGGCACGAGACCGAUAGCGAACAAGUACCGUGAGGGAAAGGUGAAAAGUACUUUGAAAAGAGAGUCAAAAAGACCGCGAAACCGUUAGGAGGGAAACGAAUGCGGCUGAAGUGGUUCCCCGUCAGGCUCAGGAGGCGUCGUCGGGUCUCGCGGGUGGCGGUUGAUUCCGCGUCCGCGAGGCGCCCGUCGACCUCUCUGCACUUCUGCGGGGGGGCCGGCCAACGUCAGUUGCUCCCGGCCCAGAAGGGCGUCGCGGGAAGGUGGCUCCGUGCGCACGCGCGGAGAACUUAUAGCCCGGCGUCAGCUAGGCGCUCCGGGGGCGACUGAGGAGAGUUGCGAGUUUCGCACGUUGCGGCGCAGGCCCCUCGGGGCUGGGCCGCUCUCCGUCGGGGGGAGUCCGAGGCUUUCACUGCCCGCAGUGGGGACUUACGGCGCUCUCUCCCGCGGGGAGGUCGGUCGCACCUUGCGUCGCGGUCGUUGGUGCCCGGAUGGCCGCAUCCGACCCGUCUUGAAACACGGACCAAGGAGUGCAACAUGCGUGCGAGUCCGCGGGUGGCAAACCCGUCGGCGCAAUGAAAGUGAAGGCAGGCGUCUGGCCUGCUGUGGCGAGAGCCUCCCCCUGUCGGGGGCGCAUCGUCGACCGAUCCCAGGCUACGCUGUGGCGGGAUUUGAGUGAGAGCGUGCCUGUUGCGACCCGAAAGAUGGUGAACUAUGCCUGAAUAGGGUGAAGCCAGAGGAAACUCUGGUGGAAGCUCGCAGCGAUUCUGACGUGCAAAUCGAUCGUCAAAUUUGGGUAUAGGGCGAAAGACUA